ACACACGCGACGAGUAAUUCAAGAAAGAACAAUGUUAACACACAUAUCCAGAUCGUGGGGGAAAAAUGACUUUAGAAAAAGUCUAAAUUCCAAGGCGGAAGAAGUUAGAAGAGUAGUCAUUCUAAUCAAUGACACUUUCGAAGAUCAAGAUUUCGAACAAUUCAUCUUUCGUUAUUUUAUUUCCGCAUGUUUGAAAUUUUAAUGUAUCGGCCAUUCGCAAUAUUGACCUUGCAAGUUUUGAUCCCCUCCCCCCGUGUUCUCAAAGCGUUUCUUUUUCUUGUUAAAUCGAAACACUACGUAAAAGACGCGAUUACAAGCCACGUUACAAAGUUUUCCGAUUUGUUCGUACUUUCCAGCAUUAUACGGAAAGGUGCGGUUAGAGAGAAAAAUUACGAAGGAAAACAUGCUUAAUCGAUUUGGAGAACCCGGAAUUCAUAAUUAGGGAACUCUACAAGUUCAAAUUCCGUAUAAGCCGCACAGGAAAAUUCCGUCGACAAUUUCGAACACACGUUAUAUCAAUUCUGUUCAUUUGUAAUAAACUCUCUAUUCAUUGAAACAAUCCGCCAUGCAUGCGCGCAUAAGUUAAAUCAUCGCGUCUCUCCCAUUACUGUCCUCAUCACCCGUGAGUGUACUGCAUAGUUAAAUCUACGUGUAUAUAUAUGUACGAUCCCCUUCUCCAUGUCGUUUUCGUAAAUGUGAUUCACUGUGAAAUGGCGAGGUGGUAGUUGGUUUUACAGUUCAUAACUGGAGCUCGUUGAAUAUCCAGUUGUGCCUUAACUAUAACGAUGCACAAAUGGAUUUGAAAUAUGAAAUAAUAUGAACAAUUUGAGCGUUCAGUUUCUUAAUCAGAAGACAUGUAGCGACGCUACUAAUUCCUAAUCAUUUGUCACAACUUUGUUGAAUAAUAGUACAAAAAAUGUGAUCCCAAACAAAUACAGACAAUUGUAAGUGCUGUGAAAAAAUUGUUAUCUUUUACCCCUUGAUAACAUGCUGCUGGAUUCGUGGCAAACAUGGAUAGGCAAAGCAUCUUUUGGAAGAACCUGAUCGAUGUUGAUGACGAGAAAAUUUUCGAGACGGUAAAAAGAGUUGGAGCUAUGCUAGGAAACAGUAGUCAAGUAUGUCAGAAUGAGAAUUUCGACUGGUGCAGUUUGUCCGAUUUGAAGUCUGCGGAAGAAAAUUACACCGAAAGUGAUCGGGAGGCCAAUGAUCAUCUGUCACUUUAUAUGAAUCGUAAGUUGACGUUGAUCGAACGGGACGUAAUCUGCAGCAAGAAAAAAUUUCACCUGGAUUCCAGAGAGUUUAACGAUCAUGAGCAGAAUUCAACGAACCGUACAAUGCGGUCGACUGACGAUUACAGUGGCGUAGAUUGUAUCAGCGGAGUAACGGAGAGAGGAGAACGUCAUCACAAAGCUUAUUCUUGUAAUGGCCGCCGCCGUGGUUACGGUCGUGAAAGGCACGCAAAGCGAAGCCGUGGUGCGAGGUGCUUGCUCUGUGUGUCAAGGAAAAAGUAUAACCAAAAGAGUUUGAAAAAGCGUAAAAAACGCAGCAAGGUGUUGAACAACAAUGUGAUGUGCGUAUUAAAUUGUUCGUAUAUAAUAAAGGAGUGUAGUAUAAUCGAUUAUCAAUCGAAAUUGUCCGCUCCGGCAGUUGCGAAAUUCGGUAUAAUCAGAUCAGCGUCGUCGGUUCAUCAUCCGGAAGGUGAGGCUGAAGUUUCAUCGUCGGAGAAAUCCACGAAACAGCGACGAAUUGGAAGGGUGGAAAAUCCUUUCUCGACUGAGCUUUCGAUAUUUCGAUCUAUACAAAAUCUAAUACAACACCUUUCGAAUAUUCUCGAAGAAAAAAAAUCCCGCGUAAAAAAACAACAACAUGGACCGAUGGAAAGGUUGGAUAUAAAUUCUGGUCGCACAUCUCAUAAACAAACCGAAUCAAACAGAAGAUCUGACAAAUUUUACAAAGUGAGAAUGAACGUCAGUCAAUCCAACACCGGCUCCGUGGUAGAGGGUGGCGAAAAGUUUGACGAAUUUAAACUCAUCAAACUACCAAUGGCACGCGCCACAAACAAGAGUCCUCAAAGUGACGAAGGCAUCGAGCCGGAUCCUGACCAGAGGAGAGGCUUUGUCGCACGCUGCUGGAGUCUUGAUUCUGCUGUACCAAGUGACGACGAUAGCUGUCCAAAUUCUGUCAUUCAGAGGGAGCACAAGGUUCGCGUCACAAGAUGUUGCAGCUCGGACAGUGCGGUGCUCAGCGAUGACGAACAGAACAAAGUUUGGGGGAGUUCGAAUGUUAACGAGGCUGUGGAAUGUGAGUCUAGCGAAAAAGAUGACGGGCAACCGAGGUAUUGGCGAACUCCGAGUGUCGUGGUCAGUGAUUUUUCGGACUACUCUUACCUGGAGGAGAAUUUUGAGAGGAACAACAUAGAUGACAAAUUUGACGGGAACAGCGGUCCCAGUCAAACUAGCAGCUGCUCCUGCUUUGACUGCGACGAGGUUCGACAAUCUACUGAAAAUUCUCUUUCAUUAGACUUCCACCUACUGCAAAUAUGCCGCCAUAGACGCCACUCCGACUCGUGUUGUUUAUGCGUUGGCUCUAAGCGUAGCAUUUCACAAAGCAACGUUAGCAGGAGAAAUUCAUGUUUGGCUUCUCCGAGUCCGUAUUAUCCAAAGUUGACGAGGUCUGAGGGAAGCUCUCCAAACUGUGAUAGUUCGAGAGUUCGUUUAGAAGAUACGGGGAGUAAGACUCACGGCGAGCUGUUGGACAUCCCGAUGUGUCGAAAGAUCUCUGAUUGUUCGACUAAUUCCAGUCUAAGUGGUGACGAUUAUGAAAUCACCGAGCUCCAACCGAUCAAACAUCCAAAGACAUCAGGCUGGAGAAAACUGAGAAACAUUGUACAAUGGACGCCGUUUUUUCAAACCUACAAGAAACAGCGGUACCCAUGGGUGCAGCUUGCGGGACAUCAAGGAAAUUUCCGUGCAGGACCAACUCCUGGGACGAUUUUAAAGAAACUCUGCCCGCAGGAGGAGGCCUGCUUCCGUUUAUUAAUGCGGGAUGUUUUGAGGCCUUAUGUACCUGAAUUCAAGGGGGUCUUGGAUGUUCGAGAGUGUGAAAACGGCGCGGAACUAGAUGACGACAUUGCAUCUGAGACUAAGGACCGAGAGGGAGGCGGAGAAUCCCGUAAAUCUGUCGUAUCCUCCUAUCUGCAGCUCCAGGAUUUACUCGGAGACUUUGAACAGCCCUGCGUUAUGGACUGUAAAGUUGGGGUGCGGACUUACCUCGAAUCUGAACUUGCCAAGGCCAAGGAAAGACCGAAGUUGCGAAGCUAAUCUUCAUUUUGUACCCAGAACACUGUAUAUACUCAGGGUUCGUACGCACGAGGAAAAUCUGGAAAACUGGGAAAACUCGGGGAAUUUUUUACAGCACGGAAAAGUCGAGGAAAAGUCCUAAUAUUAUAGAAAAAUUCUGUUUUCAGGCUGAAAUACCUGAAAAAACCCGGGAAUUUCAGAUUCCAAAUAGCGUACCAGCCCUGAUACUUCACUUAUGGUACAAAGUGAAAGUAUCCAAGGAUGCUGCGGAAAGAUAUGUAUGAGAAAAUGGUUCAAGUCGAUCCUAGCGCGCCAACAGCCGAAGAACGUCGUGUUCAGGGUGUCACGAAACCUAGGUACAUGGUUUGGCGAGAGACAAUCUCGAGUACAGCUACGUUAGGCUUCA
rnacentral:misc_RNA from 1 species